rnacentral:rRNA from 1 species
CUCGUGUCGUGAGAUGUUGGGUUAAGUCCCGCAACGAGCGCAACCCUCGUUCUAUGUUGCCAGCACGUAAUGGUGGGAACUCAUGGGAUACUGCCGGGGUCAACUCGGAGGAAGGUGGGGAUGACGUCAAAUCAUCAUGCCCCUUAUGUCUUGGGCUUCACGCAUGCUACAAUGGCCGGUACAAAGGGCUGCAAUACCGUGAGGUGGAGCGAAUCCCAAAAAGCCGGUCCCAGUUCGGAUUGAGGUCUGCAACUCGACCUCAUGAAGUCGGAGUCGCUAGUAAUCGCAGAUCAGCAACGCUGCGGUGAAUACGUUCCCGGGUCUUGUACACACCGCCCGUCAAGUCAUGAAAGUCGGUAACACCUGAA